rnacentral:lncRNA from 1 species
GCUUGUAAUAUAGACAAAUACCAAUGGGGAGAUCAUUUUCAAUACAAAAUGGGAUGCUCUCAGUGCCAGAGAUCCAAACGAUCACUUCCUGUUUGCCACAUGUGCUGUGCCAACGAUUACUGUAAUGCGAACUGCACACAGUCAACAAACGGCAAUUUAUACACUGGGAUAGUAGGUUGACAACCCGAACGAUCUAUCAAGGUUUAUUGAAGAAGACAGUGUUCAGUAAUGUGUAAACAUUUUAUACUAGCAAUUAAUAUAAAUAAAAGAAUGAAAUUAGAAUGUGAAAUCAAG